rnacentral:rRNA from 1 species
GAUGAACGCUGGCGGCGUGCUUAACACAUGCAAGUCGAACGAAGCACCUUGAUUUGAUUCUUCGGAUGAAGAUCUUGGUGACUGAGUGGCGGACGGGUGAGUAACGCGUGGGUAACCUGCCUCAUACAGGGGGAUAACAGUUAGAAAUGACUGCUAAUACCGCAUAAGACCACAGCACCGCAUGGUGCAGGGGUAAAAACUCCGGUGGUAUGAGAUGGACCCGCGUCUGAUUAGGUAGUUGGUGGGGUAACGGCCUACCAAGCCGACGAUCAGUAGCCGACCUGAGAGGGUGACCGGCCACAUUGGGACUGAGACACGGCCCAAACUCCUACGGGAGGCAGCAGUGGGGAAUAGUGCACAAUGGGGGAAACCCUGAUGCAGCGACGCCGCGUGAGCGAUGAAGUAUUUCGGUAUGUAAAGCUCUAUCAGCAGGGAAGAAAAUGACGGUACCUGACUAAGAAGCACCGGCUAAAUACGUG